rnacentral:rRNA from 1 species
UUCGCAAUGCCCGAAAGGGUGACGAAGCGGCGCCGCGUGCGGGAAGAAGGCCUUCGGGUUGUAAGCCGCUGUCGGGAGUUAAGAAAUGCAAGGGUGUUAACAGCGUCCUUGCUUGACUAAGGCUCCGGAGGAAGCCACGGCUAACUCUGUGCCAGCAGCCGCGGUAAUACAGAGGCGGCAAGCGUUGUUCGGAAUUAUUGGGCGUAAAGAGCACGUAGGCGGCCGUGUAAGUCGGUUGUGAAAGCCUUCCGCUCAACGGAAGGACGGCAUCCGAUACUGCAUGGCUCGAGUGCGGGAGGGGAGAGUGGAACUUCUGGUGGAGCGGUGAAAUGCGUAGAUAUCAGAAGGAACACCGGCGGCGAAGGCGACUCUCUGGCCCGUAACUGACGCUGAGUGUGCGAAAGCUAGGGGAGCAAACGGGAUUAGAUACCCCGGUAGUCCUAGCCGUAAACGAUGGGCACUAAGUAGAGGGGUUUUA